rnacentral:lncRNA from 10 species
UGAAUAUGUUUUGUGUUGCCUGGCACCAGAGGUAUGUGGGUUGUGGAAGAGAAACUCUGAACUGUAGAGAAUCAGAAUGCUCAGUCAUCAAACCCACAAAACUGUAAGAGGAUUCCUUUAGAAUGACAACUCGUCAAAAUAGAAGUUCCUUUCUAGCAGAAAUUUGCUGAUGGGAAAACUGAGGCCCAGAGAAGCAAAGUGUAUUUCCUAGGGUCACACAGCCUAGGUCUCCAGACUGGAUGUCCUUCU